rnacentral:rRNA from 1 species
CCUACAGGUGGCUGCAGUGAGGAAUAUUGGUCAAUGGGCGCGAGCCUGAACCAGCCAAGUAGCGUGAAGGAUGACUGCCCUACGGGUUGUAAACUUCUUUUAUAAAGGAAUAAAGUGAGGCACGUGUGCCUUUUUGUAUGUACUUUAUGAAUAAGGAUCGGCUAACUCCGUGCCAGCAGCCGCGGUAAUACGGAGGAUCCGGGCGUUAUCCGGAUUUAUUGGGUUUAAAGGGAGCGUAGAUGGGUUGUUAAGUCAGUUGUGAAAGUUUGCGGCUCAACCGUAAAAUUGCAAUUGAUACUGGCAGUCUUGAGUACAGUUGAGGUAGGCGGAAUGCGUGGUGUAGCGGUGAAAUGCAUAGAUAUCACGCAGAACCCCGAUUGCGAAGGCAGCAUGUCGGCUUCCGACUGACGCUGAAGCACGAAAGCGUGGGGAUCGAACAGGAUUAGAUACCCCUGUAGUC